rnacentral:rRNA from 1 species
GAUGAACGCUGGCGGCGUGCUUAACACAUGCAAGUUGAACGAAGUGGAGGAUGGGCGAGUAACACGUGAGGAACCUGACCUCCUUUGUGGGAUAAGCCUUGGAAACGGGGUCUAAUACAGGAUAAAGGGAGAGGGGCUCGCGGCCGAUCAGCUUGUUGGUGGGGGGAUGGCCUACCAAGGCGGGGACGGGUGGCCGGGCUGAUCGGGUGCACGGCCACAUGGGAACGGACAUACGGCCCAGAGUACGACGGGAUGGAGCAGUGGGGGAUAUUGCCGAAAGGGCGAUGGCCUGAUGCAGCGAGGCCGCGUGGGGGAUGAAGGUUUUCGGGUUGUAAAACUCUUUCGCUAUCGAAUGGGUAGGUGGAGAAGAAGCGCCGGCUAACUACGUGCCAGCAGCCGCGGUAAUAC